ensembl:lncRNA
UAUGGGGGGGGCUGAGCCGCCGCCGACUGCGGAGGUGUUCCGUGUCCCCGAGCUGGAGCCGACUACGGAGGUGUUCCGUGUCCCCGAGCUGGAGCCGACUACGGAGGUGUUCCGUGUCCCCGAGCUGGAGCCGACUACGGAGGUGUUCCGUGUCCCCGAGCCGGAGCCGACUACCGCGGAGGUGUUCCGUGUCCCCGAGCCGGAGCCGACUACCGCGGAGGUGUUCCGUGUCCCCGAGCCGGAGCCGACGACUGCGGAGGUGUUCCGUGUCCCCGAGCCGCCGCCGACCCCCCCGGAGGUUUCCCGUGUCCCCGAGCCUGCCAUGCCAGAGACGUUCCGGAGCUGGCCAAAUGACCGUCCGCCGGGCCGCCCACCGGAGGCUCCCCGGCAGUGUGCCUAUCCGCCAGGCCGACCCCCAGAGGUUCCCCGGUCGCCUGGCCGCCCGCCGGGCCGCCCGCCAGAGUUUCCCGGGUGGUCCGACCAACGUCUCUGGUUUCCCUGCCCCCCCACCCCUUGUUUUGCUCUAGUGUGAGCCGCCUGGAAGUCGGUCCUUGAGGGGGGGGUACUGUCACGGUGUGGUUUCACUUCCUGUUGUAUUUUGUAGUUUUCUGCCACUCGUGUCCCCGGGUAACUUCACUUCCUGCCUUGUCCCGUCAUCCCCUGUGAUCGUCUAAUAGUUUCCACCUGUGUCCAAUCACCUGCACCUCCCUUGUGUAUUUAAGCCAUGUGUCUCCUGUGUCACUUGUCGCGUCAUUGUCUUUUGUCACACAUGU